rnacentral:rRNA from 1 species
AUUGAACGCUGGCGGAAUGCUUUACACAUGCAAGUCGAACGGUAGAGGGGGCAACCCCUUGAGAGUGGCGAACGGGUGAGUAAUAUAUCGGAACGUGCCCAGUCGUGGGGGAUAACGUAGCGAAAGUUACGCUAAUACCGCAUACGAUCUAAGGAUGAAAGCGGGGGACCGUAAGGCCUCGCGCGAUUGGAGCGGCCGAUAUCAGAUUAGGUAGUUGGUGGGGUAAAGGCUCACCAAGCCAACGAUCUGUAGCUGGUCUGAGAGGACGACCAGCCACACUGGAACUGAGACGCGGUCCAGACUCCUACGGGAGGCAGCAGUGGGGAAUUUUGGACAAUGGACGCAAGCCUGAUCCAGCCAUUCCGCGUGCAGGAUGAAGGCCCUCGGGUUGUAAACUGCUUUUGUACGGAACGAAAAGGUUUGUCUUAAUACGAUGAGCUCAUGACGGUACCGUAAGAAUAAGCACCGGCUAACUACGUG